AUGUUUGACGGUUUUGUUUUCCAGGGUCGAACGGACCGCAGCUGUUCACCAUCGAGCAGUGGGGAACACGUGAAAAACUCCCCCGAGCCCACACAUGCUUCAAUCGGCUGGACCUGCCUCCCUAUGAGUCUUUUGAGGAGCUGAGGGAGAAACUUCACAUCGCCAUCGAGAACGCACAAGGCUUCGACGGGGUGGAUUAGAUCUUGAACUGUUAUUGAGCUGAACGGACAUUACUGCAUGAUGUGCUGAAGAGGAGAGAAACCAGCUGUGCUUCAGAUCCAGGUGUUAACCUGCGGCUGUGUGACGGAUGAAGGAAAGUCGCACACGCUUCACUCCUCUGUCGUGGCACACAUGGAGAAAGGACAUGUAAUCUGUUGUGACGGAGGUAUCUAAUCUCUCUGUAUUUUUACGUUUACAAAGCGAACAUGCAAAGCUGUGUACUCUAUAACUUUUAGAAACACAUUUGUUUCAUUUGGGCUGAAUUGCCUCAGUAAAACUUGUUAUGCUCAUCAUCAGGUAUUUGGGAGAUUUUCUCUUCAUACUCUAGUUAGUGGGAAAUCAUUUGACUUCUGUUGCUGUUGUAGUGCUGGAAAGAGUGGACCAUGGGUUAGAUUAUUCAUUAAGUUAACUUAUUAUUAGAAGGAACUCUUCCUAUAUGAGUUAAACAAUUAAAACAUGUUUACUUAUCCAUACCAUUUAAUGUAUAAAGUAAACAAAACAAGUCUGAAAUCCCUUUAAACGUGACAUUACCCCGACUGGAACAAUGUUAGAAGCACCCAGUGGUUUUAAAUGUCCAGGGAUUAGUAUAUCAUCUCCUGAAACUGAAUAGAAUAAGCCUUACAUAUCAUAUCAUAUCAUAUCAUAUCAUUGGGAUCGGGUCCCAUAUUUCUACAGUAGCCCAUAGCAACCACACUAAAACACAGUCAGGAUAUGGAGGUUCAAUCUUUUGUGUUGAAAUUAAUUGCACAAAUAAAAAUUAUUGGAAGGUAAAGAGGAUGUCGUGUUUGCUAAAGCUGGCUAACCAUCAUGUGCUGUGAAGAGUCUGAGAAGCCAUAUUUGAAAAGAAAUUGGAUUAAAUUAAUUAAACUGACUAUUAAACAAACAAAAAAGCUGUUAACAUUAGUGUGUCCUUUUCCAAAUCUCUGAUAAAUGACAUGUUUUCAGAGUUGCAUAUCUUUUUGCUGGAUAAGUAAUUUAGCCAACCAAUCUGAUUGGACCUGAAAUCCACAGUAGGAUCUUCCACACGCCUUGAAAUGGAGGGAGGGGUUUUCAGGGGCACUAAAUCCUACACUCUGGUCCUAUAAAAUAAGAGAUGAAGACAGCAAGGUGUUUCAAACAAAAACCUGACUGAUAAAUUGGCAAUUCAAUCUAAAUAAAACCAAUGUAAAUGUGUUUUAUAUCCUUUCAAUUCUACACAUAAUUAAACAUGUUCAUUCCAUCAUCAUUAGAAAAACUGAUGCAAAUCCCAAAUGUAUGCACCUCAGAAGCAUUGUUGGCAAAAAUGUGAAAGUUAUAUACAAGUUUUAGGGACUAAACUUAAGGGAAGUGUAUUAUUUAAUCAUUAUAGUAGUGAUGUACACAUAGCAGGACCAGUAAAAGGCUAACAAUAUUAUACAUUUUUAGUUUGUUUCUCACUACGCGCAGUGUUAGAUUGUGCUGCAAUACGAUGCAUAAUUGUACAUAUAGACAUAACAUUAUUAGAUAUGUUUUUUCAGUUAUUACAUAAAUAUACUGUACAUAAAAAAUUUACAAAAUGGUGAAGCAUUUAUUUUUAAAAAGAAUGUGAAAUUGGCAAAUAACUGUUAAUGAUGCACCUCUACAUGAAUGCAUUGUCUUGAGGCACAGUGCCCACUCAGACUCAAGUGUAACACUGGUAGUUUGUGUAUCGGAGUGACGAAUACACGCUAUAUAUCCCAGAAAUAUCCGACAGACUGACCGUAUCAACCAUAUCGUUUUGUUUUCCUCUACUCACCACGGGUGUCUGAUCGCAGCACUGUGCUCUAUUUUUAAGAGUACACCUUAAACUUUUCGCUUAUCAAAAUGUGUACAGAUAUUUGACUGUUUUUAAAAUGAGUAACCACUUGUUAGUACCUUUGUAGGAAAGUAACUGUACUUCAGCAUUAGUUUUAACAUGUUCUAUAUGGUUAAACGUGCGUUUACACUACCUGCCAUGUUUACAGGUCGUUGCUAAAAGCAGAUAUUGUUGAGCUGGUUCUAGUCUAUCUGACAACACAAUUUUAUACUUUAUCCUUUUAUAAAGUCAAGCACUUUGUUAAUAUCCAUGAGUCUUACUUUGUCUGAAUCUUUGCCAAUCUGUCGCCUGCAGACUGCUUGAAUCGCUUUUUAACAAAAUGAUCCUAUGCUUCAAGUGCACGUGUUUAAAUGUUUACAUGUGAACAUUGCUGAAAAUAAGCAGUCUCUUCUUUCAAUUAUAUUUAAAGUUAAAUACAGAGGCCUUCGUUUGUAAUGUAUUGUACAUUUUGAUUGUUUAUUGGUGUUUUGAUCUCUAAAUGGAAGUACUGUUAUAUAACUAUGGUCUACUGAAGAAUAAUGAAUAGAUCCACCCCCUAAUUUCUGAUAUAUCGACUUUUCUUAUUAUGGAUUUAAAUAUAACACCUAUAAGUGCAUUACAACAACAACAAGAACAACAGCAACAACCACAACAUACAUGCAACAUAUAUACAACAGUUUAAACGUUGAAAAUGAAUUGUAUGAGCUGUUGAAUCACAAUUUGAUGACAUACAAUACACCAAAUUAAAUAUCAAUAUAUUUGAAAAAUAAAGAUAUUAAAACAAUCA